GUGCACCAGUCGAGAAUCAUUCGCAAUGGGCGAAAGCCUGACGAUGCGACGCCGUGUGAACGAAGAAGGCCCUCGGGUCGUAAAGUUCUUUCGCCUGGGAACAAGAGAGGAGGAUGAAUAAUCCUUUAAUUUGAGGGUACCAGGUAAAGAAGCACCGGCUAACUCCGUGCCAGCAGCUGCGGUAAUACGGAGGGUGCAAGCAUUAAUCGGAUUUAUUGGGCGUAAAGGGCGUGUAGGCGGCCGUUCAAGUCUGUUGUGAAAUUCCGGGGCUCAACCCCGGAGCUGCAAUGGAAACUGGAUGGCUAGAGGAGUAGGCGGAAGAAAAUGGAAUUCCAACAAGUAGCGGUAGAAAUGCGUAGAUAUGUGGAGG
rnacentral:rRNA from 1 species